GGCUGGGGGCUGGGGAUCCCCGGGCUGGGCUGAAGGACUGGGGAUCCAUGCCCCUGGGGACUGAGCGUGACAGCAGACAGACGUACAGCACGUCCUUGAGGAAAAUGAGGCAUUUCUGCAGCUAGAGUCCCUCAAGAGGUGCAGUGUUAGAGAGGAGUAUGGUGACAGCGGUGUCCUGCAGGCAGCUCCAGGAACGUGCUCACACAGUGCCAGCAGGCGGCCUGAGCCCUGCUCCAUCAGCCUCAGGUUGCUGCUCUGGGGGCACAGAGACCCAGUCACAGCAUCACUGAGUUCAGAGAGUCCACCAAGGAGUUGCUGGCUGGCCCUGUGCCACGGGAAUGUGGUAUGAGGGUAUUUCAUGAGGACGCCGAUGUUGUCACGUCGUGACAUGGCAUGCUGACAUGUCAGAUAGUGCCUCUUCCUCUUUGGAAGCAGGAUCUGCACCUUUGACUGCCACAGCAGAGACUCAGGAGUGCUGGACUGGGAAGGAUUGCUGCAUCACGGUUCAAAGCUCAGUCACACCUUGUAGUCUCCUUCAGGAAACCCAGAGACUCUGCUUUGAACCUGGUUCAUUUUUUUUCGUCUCAUUGCUCGUAUCAGAAGACUGCUCUGCAAUGUUGCUGCUCUGACGUUUGGAAAUGUUCUGAUUUUCACUCUAACUUUAUUCACGGCCAGAUUGUAUUCACUGCACUUGUGCCUAGGCUGUCUGCUAGCUCUUUUCCUUCUUGUAUUUAAGCCGAUGUUAUCUGCCUUUGCUUACCAAUUUGCCUGCUGGCUGGAAUUAUGCACAGAAGAGAAGUUUCCCAUGCCCUACAUGAGGUUAUUUUAACCUCUCUAAAGGAGCUAAAUAAUUAUUCUUCAUCUAAGGGUGACUGAAUGCAGGCUUUAUAGUAUGACAGCAUCAUUUAUUCACAAGGGGAUAUUUGCACCCUCGGUGUAAAGAAUGCUUUGAAACUGUUUAUUUAUUUGUAUUUUAUUAUGAAGAUCCAUUAACAGUGUUUAUAACAUUU